AGUCUGGUGCCAGCAGCCGCGGUAAUUCCAGCUCCAAUAGCGUAUAUUAAAGUUGCUGCAGUUAAAAAGCUCGUAGUCGAACUUCAGGUCCUUACGGGCGGUCCAUCCUUCGGGAUGUUGUACUGUCUAGCGGGGCCUUUCGUGUUUGCUUUCGCAGGCACAAUUUACCUUGAAAAAAUUAGAGUGUUCAAAGCAAGCUUUCAAGCUUGAAUAGACUAGCAUGGAAUAAUAGAAUAUGACCUCGCAGGUCUAUAUUUUGUUGGUUUCCAAGACCUAGCGGUAACGAUUAAUAGGAACAGUUGGGGGCAUUUGUAUUGCUGCGUCAGAGGUGAAAUUCUUGGAUUGCAGCAAGACAAGCUAAUGCGAAAGCAUCUGCCAAGGAUGUUUUCAUUGAUCAAGAACGAAAGUUAGGGGAUCAAAGACGAUCAGAUACCGUCGUAGUCUUAACCAUAAACUAUGCCGACUGAGGAUUAGGUGAAGUUUAUUUAAAUGACGCACCUAGCACUCUGCGAGAAAUCAAAGUUUUUAGGUUCCGGGGGGAGUAUGGUCGCAAGGCUGAAACUUAAAGGAAUUGACGGAAGGGCACCACCAGGAGUGGAGCCUGCGGCUUAAUUUGACCCAACACGGGAAAACUCACCAGGUCCAGACAUAGUGAGGAUUGACAGACUGAAAGCUCUUUCUUGAUUCUAUGGGUGGUGGUGCAUGGCCGUUCUUAGUUGGUGAGGUGAUUUGUCUGGUUAAUUCCGAUAACGAACGAGACCUUGAUCUACUAAAUAGUUUGACUCUUUUCGCGAAGAGCACAAACUUCUUAGCGAAACUACAAGCGUUUAGCUUGUUGAAGGUAAAGGCAAUAACAGGUCUGUGAUGCCCUUAGAUGUUCUGGGCUGCACGCGCGCUACACUGACAAAGCCAGCGAGUAAAAUUAUCUCUUCGGGGAUAAGCCUUGGCCGGAAGGUCUGGGUAAUCUUGUCAAACUUUGUCGUGCUGGGGAUAGUCCAUUGCAAUUAUUGGACUUGAACGAGGAAUUCCUAGUAAGCGCAAGUCAUCAGCUUGCGUUGAUUAUGUCCCUGCCCUUUGUACACACCGCCCGUCGCUACUACCGAUUGAAUGGCUUAGUGAGGCCUCUGGAUUGCUUUGCUCGCUGGCUAACGCCGACGACCGAAACAAAAAGUUGGU
rnacentral:rRNA from 1 species